GAGACAACACUUUAUAUAUACAGUCUAUGCUAACAACCGACAACAGUUUGCUCCAAAAGAUGGCAGAAAUAGCCGGAUCGACAUCCAGAGAGGAAAUCCUGAAGGAAAGUGGGCCUCCCGCCAUACUUGGACAAGCCUCACCCAGACGACGAGACGGCGUACAGAGAGGAGGUCGAAAACCUGACAUCUU